UACGUAGGGUCCGAGCGUUGUCCGGAAUUACUGGGCGUAAAGAGCUCGUAGGUGGUUUGUCGCGUUGUCCGUGAAAACUCACAGCUCAACUGUGGGCGUGCGGGCGAUACGGGCAGACUGGAGUACUGCAGGGGAGACUGGAAUUCCUGGUGUAGCGGUGAAAUGCGCAGAUAUCAGGAGGAACACCGGUGGCGAAGGCGGUUCUCUGGGCAUUACCUGACGCUGAGGCGCGAAAGCGUGGGGAGCAAACAGG
rnacentral:rRNA from 1 species